rnacentral:rRNA from 1 species
GUAGGUGGCAAGCGUUGUCCGGAAUUAUUGGGCGUAAAGCGCGCGCAGGCGGUUCUUUAAGUCUGAUGUGAAAGCCCACGGCUCAACCGUGGAGGGUCAUUGGAAACUGGAGAACUUGAGUACAGAAGAGGAAAGCGGAAUUCCACGUGUAGCGGUGAAAUGCGUAGAGAUGUGGAGGAACACCAGUGGCGAAGGCGGCUUUCUGGUCUGUAACUGACGCUGAGGCGCGAGAGCGUGGGGGAGCAAACAGGAUUAGAUACCCUGGUAGUCCACGCCGUAAACGAUGAGUGCUAGUGUUAGGGGGUUUCCGCCCCUUAGUGCUGCAGCUAACGCAUUAAGCACUCCGCCUGGGAGUACGGCCGCAAGGCUG